GUGUAUGUGUGUGGGUGUUCAUGUUCACCGAAAAAGGAAUUCGGAAAAAGAAGACGUAUUGUUUUUUGUGACUAUAAAAUGUUAUGGUUGAACGUCAUCAUCAGUUCGGAGUGAAGACUUCAUGCUAUUUACUUUCAUUGCUAUUUGCUUAGGAGUUAUUGUUUUUAAUAAAGCGAAACCAUUUGAUAUGGUGAUGCGUUAAACUUAUUUUAAACAAGUCUCUGAGUAAUUUAUUAAGGGUAAAUCUAUUAUUUUACUUUAUACCUGAACCUGCAUCACGAGUUCCAUAGCGGCAUCUGGACACCGGUGGGAAGAAGUACUGAAGCUUCUAUUGCAUCUGAUAAAUAGCAGAGUCCGUGGAUAAUGGUGUAAUUCAUCAGCACUGAUCAUUGACAUCCCUGAAGAUCCAUCAUCAUGAUUUGUUUCAGAGUUCUUUCCACAAUAAUCCAUGCCCUUAAUCUAUGAAAUGAACAAGAAAAGUCCUGCAGCUCUUCAAAAGAUAUGUGCCUCUAUUUUCACUGCAUGGGAACAUAAACUGCCAUGUAAUUUUUGUAAGACUUUCUUUAGUUACAUUGAUGAUGUUCUUUAGGAGUUGACAGCUUCCCAUCAACUUCCAUUGUAUGGAAAAGAGCAGCAUUACCAUUCUUCAAAACAUCUACUUUUGUAUUCAACAAAAGACUUUUUGAAUGACAUUAAAAUUCAUUUUCAUUUAAACAUUUUCUCCAAAAACAAAGAAAUUAAGAACAUAUACUCUUUGUUCUCUUUUUGUUUGUUUUUUUGGCUACAUGCACCAUGUCCAUCAUAAAACGUUUAUUCAUGCAAGAUCAUGUGUCCAUGAGCUUUAGUAAAAUCAAUACAAUGAA